UUUUAAGUCAAAUUGUCAUCCUGUAUGGACUCACAGAACUAAAGCCCAGCCCCAGCCAUUCCAAGCUCUAUCCGCAGACAUUGAAACAGGAGAUUAGAGCCGGGGCAAAGCUAGUCAAACAACUGCAUCGUCUGUCAAAGCCGUGCAGACCCAGGGCACACUUGUGGAGCUCGGAAUCCAGGAUGACAGUGAAGCUCCUCGGCGCCGAACACGGAACCUUAAGAAAAGCGCCAUUUCCCAUUCUUAAUUUACAUCUGGCACAAAGUCCAGUGAGUCUUUGAUAGGACGUCAUCCCAAUGCCUUGUACGCACGAGCAAGAAGCCAUUUCGGGGCUUCCAGAUUCCCUUUUCCUUGCAGCUGCUGUGAGCCUGUUCGUUCACGGGCCCGCUCUCACUCUGCAGAGUGUACUUCUUUCCCACCUCCA
ensembl:lincRNA